GUCCACGCCCUAAACGAUGGGCACUAAGUGUGGGAGGUAUCGACCCCUCCCGUGCCGCACCUAACGGAGUAAGUGCCCCGCCUGGGGAGUACGGCCGCAAGGUUGAAACUAAAAGGAAUUGACGGGGGCCCGCACAAGCGGUGGAGCAUGUGGUUUAAUUCGACGCAACGCGAAGAACAUUACCCAGGCUUGACAUGUAGGUAGUAGGAACCUGAAAGGGAGACGACCCCGCAAGGGGAGCCUGCACAGGUGCUGCAUGGCUGUCGU
rnacentral:rRNA from 1 species